UACGAAGGGGGCUAGCGUUGUUCGGAAUCACUGGGCGUAAAGGGCGCGUAGGCGGCUUUAUAAGUCGGGGGUGAAAGCCUGUGGCUCAACCACAGAAUUGCCUUCGAUACUGUAGAGCUUGAGACCGGAAGAGGUAAGUGGAACUGCGAGUGUAGAGGUGAAAUUCGUAGAUAUUCGCAAGAACACCAGUGGCGAAGGCGGCUUACUGGUCCGGUUCUGACGCUGAGGCGCGAAGGCGUGGGGAGCGAACGGG
rnacentral:rRNA from 1 species